rnacentral:rRNA from 1 species
CCUACGGGAGGCAGCAGUAGGGAAUCUUCGGCAAUGGACGGAAGUCUGACCGAGCAACGCCGCGUGAGUGAAGAAGGUUUUCGGAUCGUAAAGCUCUGUUGUAAGAGAAGAACGAGUGUGAGAGUGGAAAGUUCACACUGUGACGGUAUCUUACCAGAAAGGGACGGCUAACUACGUGCCAGCAGCCGCGGUAAUACGUAGGUCCCGAGCGUUGUCCGGAUUUAUUGGGCGUAAAGCGAGCGCAGGCGGUUAGAUAAGUCUGAAGUUAAAGGCUGUGGCUUAACCAUAGUACGCUUUGGAAACUGUUUAACUUGAGUGCAAGAGGGGAGAGUGGAAUUCCAUGUGUAGCGGUGAAAUGCGUAGAUAUAUGGAGGAACACCGGUGGCGAAAGCGGCUCUCUGGCUUGUAACUGACGCUGAGGCUCGAAAGCGUGGGGAGCA